rnacentral:rRNA from 1 species
CGAACGGAAGUUAAGCAAUUAAACUUUAGUGGCGAACGGGUGAGUAACGCGUAAGCAAUCUGCCCCUAAGACGAGGAUAACAGUUGGAAACGACUGCUAAGACUGGAUAGGAGACAAGAAGGCAUCUUCUUGUUUUUAAAAGACCUAGCAAUAGGUAUGCUUAGGGAGGAGCUUGCGUCACAUUAGUUAGUUGGUGGGGUAAAGGCCUACCAAGACUAUGAUGUGUAGCCGGGCUGAGAGGUUGAACGGCCACAUUGGGACUGAGACACGGCCCAAACUCCUACGGGAGGCAGCAGUAGGGAAUUUUCGGCAAUGGAGGAAACUCUGACCGAGCAACGCCGCGUGAACGAUGAAGUAUUUCGGUACGUAAAGUUCUUUUAUUAGGGAAGAAUAAAUGAUGGAAAAAUCAUUCUGACGGUACCUAAUGAAUAAGCCCCGGCUAACUAUGUGCCAGCAGCCGCGGUAAUACAUAGGGGGCAAGCGUUAUCCGGAAUUAUUGGGCGUAAAGGGUGCGUAGGCGGUUAAAUAAGUUUAUGGUCUAAGUGCAAUGCUCAACAUUGUGAUGCUAUAAAAACUGUUUAGCUAGAGUAAGAUAGAGGCAAGUGGAAUUCCAUGUGUAGUGGUAAAAUGCGUAAAUAUAUGGAGGAACACCAGUAGCGAAGGCGGCUUGCUGGGUCUUUACUGACGCUGAGGCACGAAAGCGUGGGGAGCAAACAGGAUUAGAUACCCUGGUAGUCCACGCCGUAAACGAUGAGUACUAAACGUUGGGUAAAACCAGUGUUGAAGUUAACACAUUAAGUACUCCGCCUGAGUAGUACGUACGCAAGUAUGAAACUUAAAGGAAUUGACGGGACUCCGCACAAGCGGUGGAUCAUGUUGUUUAAUUCGAAGGUACCCGAAAAACCUCACCAGGUCUUGACAUGCUUCUGCAAAGCUGUAGAAACACAGUGGAGGUUAUCAGUUGCACAGGUGGUGCAUGGUUGUCGUCAGCUCGUGUCGUGAGAUGUUGGGUUAAGUCCCGCAACGAGCGCAACCCUUAUUGUUAGUUACCAGCACGUAAUGGUGGGGACUUUAGCAAGACUGCCAGUGAUAAAUUGGAGGAAGGUGGGGACGACGUCAAAUCAUCAUGCCCCUUAUGACCUGGGCUACAAACGUGAUACAAUGGCUGUUACAAAGGGUAGCUGAAGCGCAAGUUUUUGGCGAAUCUCAAAAAAACAGUCUCAGUUCGGAUUGAAGUCUGCAACUCGACUUCAUGAAGUUGGAAUCGCUAGUAAUCGCGAAUCAGCAUGUCGCGGUGAAUACGUUCUCGGGGUUUGUACACACCGCCCGUCAAACCACGAAAGUUGGCAAUACCCAAAGCCGGUGGCCUAACUUCGCAAGAAGAGGGAACCGUCUAAGGUAGGGUCGAUGAUUGGGGUUAAG